GAUGAACGCUGGCGGCAGGCCUAACGCAUGCAAGUCGAGGGGGAAGUUCCUUUCGGGUGGCUGAGACCGGCUUACGGGUGCGUAACUCGUAUACAAUCUACCUUUCACUGGGGUGUAGCUCGCAGCAGUUUAGUUUAAUACCCAAUGGUAAAUAGCGCCGGCAUCGUUUUUAUAGUAAAGCAUAGUUGGUGAAAGGUGAGUGUGUGUUCUAUUAGCUAGUUGGAGAGGUAGCGGCUGCCCAAGGCGAUGAUAGCUAGGGGUUCUGAGAGGGAUGUGCCCGACAGGGGGACUGGGAUACGUGCGAGAGUGAUACGGGAGGGAGUAGUGAGGGAUACAGGAGAAUGGUAGGAAGACUGAUGCAGCGAUGCCGCGUACAGGAUGAACGCGUUAGGGAAUGUAAACUUCGGUUGGAAGGGAAGAAUAAGCGGUACGCGUAGGUUGGUGACGGUACCUGAUGAAGAAGCACCGGCUAACUACGUG
rnacentral:rRNA from 1 species